CUGCCUCCUCCGGACAGCUGAUUCAUUGGCUCGGCCGCCCAGACUGCCUGGCGCCGGCUGCGUGACGUCACCCAUUCACGGAGCCCGCCUCCCCCCUCCGCUGGCGCCGGCCGGGCGGUCGCCCUGACAACGCAGACGCCAGCCCUCACAAUGACUUCCAGCUGGAGCAGCCCAGCCAGCCUGCGCGCUCACUCGCUUGCUUGCGCUGGGCUUCAGGGCGCCCGGGUGAGUUUCUUUCUCUCCCUCUCGUUUUUUUUUCCCCAGGCUCUCGCGGGUUUCCCCUGCCAGGGAAUCCACUCGCUGUAGUUUUCUAGGGCUCUGGUCCCAGUCCCUUCUGAAGCGCGCUUGCAGGCUGUCUUCCUCAGUCGCCCUCUCCCUGGGUGCUGUUUUGCUGGGCAGCAUCCCAUGCUAGGCUCGGCAGACAUUCUGGCGGUUGGGUUCGGCCCUUGCAGCGCUAACACCUGCAGAGUCGAGGCUCCUGCCAAAAGGCAGAAAGCAAAGGAGGAAAAAAUUCAUUGUCAUAAUAGCGAAAAUGAUAAACCUCAGCUGUUUAAGAGAAGAACGUCUGAGUAGCUGUUGAUUACCUCCCAUAAUCACAAAAGAACUUUUUUUUUUAAAAAAAGAAUUUGCACUUUUCGUCUGUUAAAACGCGGUCAUUCUUUUGCUUUCAAAUCGAACUUCACGACAGUUAGCAACUUCAAGAACGCUUCCAAAUGGAUAAAUCUUUCCAGAAGAUUUCUUGCUUCAAAACAGCUGCAUUUUUGGAAGAAAGUCCACAACUGACAACUAAGCAAAACCUUCCUGGUGGAUAGCAUAAAUCUGCUUUGUUGAAGCUGCUCAUUUGUCUGAUCUAUGAGUCCAGAAGAUGCAAACUCCCUUCCCAGCUUAUGCAAAAAUACUUCCAGUAAAAACAAGCCCUUUGGCCCUUUUCUUCUGUCAGUCCAGAUUUCAGCAUGUUCUUCGCUUUGUUAUUCAUCAUUUUAUGUAUUUGGACCCAUCCUCAAACAGACUUUAAACCGUUUAAAGGUUUUUCUGUGGACCUAAAUUUUCAUUUCUCUGGGAUAAAUGUCCAGGAGUGUGAUUGCUGGGUCAUAUGAUCUACAGUACCUCUUGGACAGAUUUUCCUGUGUGUAUAUGAUAUGAGACGAAGUCACUCACUGUCGCCCAGGCUGGAGUGCAGUGGCAAGAUCCCGGCUCACUGCAACCUCCACCUCCCGGAUUCAAGCAAUUCUCCUGCCUCAGCCUCCUGAGUAGCUGGGAUUACAGAUACAAGAUCUUGCACACUGCACAGGAUGGAGUGCAGUGGUGUGAUCAUAGCUCACUGCGGCCUCAAACUCCUGGGCUCAAGGCAUCCUCUUGCCUCCCAAGUAGCUGGGACUACAGGACCCUAUUGGACAGUAACAACAACAACAACAGAAAAUCUCUUCUGCCUGUUUAAUUUACUUGGAGGCAUUUGCAGUGGAAAAUUGGGAAACAGGUGUCACAUGCCAUUCUUCUGAUUUUCAUGAAUAUCCUCUAAAAGGCAGCUAAACACUCGCCGUCUUCUUCCUUUUGCCUCAUCAAGCACGGGGGAUGCUGGAAGGAAGAGUAUUUGUACAGUUGAGCCGAAAUGCCUGUUCUAACAAAGAGAGCCUGGGUGGGACUGCCAAGAUGAAUAGACAUAAUCCUCGAUUUAACCACUUCACAGUUUAUCAUCGGAGUCAAGUUUGCAGAUAAACAAUUGCCAUGCAACUUUCAAGAAAAUGGUGCCUGAGAUGAGCAAGGUCAGCAGACAAGAAGUGAGGUCAAUGUCAGGUUUCCAUGCCAGCAGCGGGAACUCUGGAUACAGUGGAGAGUCACAGCUGGUCAAACCCUGAACCGCUUGCUCCUUGAAAUGGCCAGAGAGGCCCAUCCCAGAGCCAUCUCAUCAUCUCUCCUCAGACAGGAAACCGAGAAGGAAAACAAUCAGCUCUGUUCUCUCUGGGCCGAGGGAGUGAGCUGUAAUGAGGGAGCACAGGAACGCAUUGGGCGCCCUCAGACCUGAACACACAGUUGAGAAUAACUCAUCCAGGGUCAUUGAAUGGUGGAGGAUCUUCCAAAAUCAGCAGCUAGAAGGUCAAGAACCAUUCAUGCCGUACUAAGAAGUUUCAUGCUAGGCAAAGAAGAGUGACAAGGUAUUUCAACAGGUGAAUGAUAGGUACACAAAGAAGGAUUACCACAGGAAAUCCAGAGAGGCUUUAGAAGACGAGCUUGCGUUGAGAUAGAAGCCGGAAGCCCACUUAGCCAACUGCCUCCAUGGGACCUCGCAUGAGGCAGGCUUAUGACAGUAAAUGCUACACUGCCCCCAGUGAAAAAGAGAAUUUGGCAUUCAUUCUUCUGAACCCGCCAUCCCUCAGCCCUGGCGCCUGGGAAUUCUGCGAAUCGUUGCCUGUGGCAGUGACACUGAUUUGUAUCUGGGUAUGAACUUAAAUGAAAACAUGAAUUGAACUCAUUACUUGAGGAAGGAAACACUGCCAAAUUUAACAGGAUGAAAUUCCAGCAGGGUGUAAGGUUUUAUGGGGCUACAGUGGAAUAUCUCAUAGAAAGGUUUCCAGUUCAUAAAACACUUUCAAAACAUGCUCGGCCCUUUUAAGUUGAAGGGACAUUAUCAUUUCUAUCUAUGGCAUUUCUCUGCAAAUUGAACUCAAAUAUCCUUUGGGCUGACUACACAGAGAACAGAAGAAAGAAGUGGAAGAAACUUGGACUGAAGAUUGCCUCCCUGAAAAGGUUUUCUUCAGGCAGAAUGAGGCAGAGUCUUGUUCUGUCACCCAGGCUGGAGUGCAGUGGUGGGAUCUUGGCUCACUGCAACCUCUGCCUCCCAGGUUCAAGUGAUUCUCCUGCCUCAGCCUCCCAGGUCUCAAGGGGUCAACCUGGUUCAAAUGUCUACAGGGGCAUGGCAUCUGCUGAUUGGCUUCUGCCUGAACUGCUGAACCAAUCAGUAAAAGGAACAAUGAGUUUACAUAAUUGGCUUAAGGACUUCAGUCAGCUCCUCAUCAUGCAGGAUGAGAGACUGGUGAAGAAUGUGAUGAAAUGGCUUAGGAAGCCAACCACAAUAUCUACACCCUAAUUCGUGAAGCUCCUAUGA